UUUUUUUUUUUUUUUUUUUUUUUACAGAACACAUUUUCAGGUGCUGUGCAAGUGACUGCCUGUUCAGUAAUAAGAUAGGUUAUGCAGUACCCUUAUUUUAUGGUCUCUAUUUAUCCUAUUGUAGACACGCGCUUCAAUUAGUGUAAAACAAAUGGCAUAAUUCCAGAUCCACUAAACCUUGGAGACAUGUAUUAUCAUGCAUAUGCAGCACGCAUUUACUACUACAUAGCAAGCUGGCACAGACCUGAGAGUGGGACACAGCCGUUUGGGCCCAGCAGGUGAGGCCCACUGCAGCUCCCUCAGCUGGGGCAGCUCUGUGCCAUGCUCUGGAUGGGUUGUCAUAGGAAUUGCUCUGAUAUGAAGUAAUGCUAUUAUCUUUUAUCAACUGAAGGCAUGUUUGAGACUUCCCUGUACAAGGAGCAGCCCUGUUAAGGUAACUGUGCACAGGAUGCUCUGUGAGCACUUAGCCCUCAUGAUGAAAACAGAAAGUUUUCUCUAGCACAUCCAAGCUGUGGUGCCUUUUAGAAAAGGGAUUGUAAGGAGCUCAAUGGUUGUUAUUUUGUGGCUGCACCAUCCUUGAGGCUGCACAGUCCUUUACUGCCCCACCAGAAGGGCUGCUCAGCGGGAGCUGCUGGGGCUCCCAGCCCAAUAGGAAAGAAAUCCUGACACAGCAUGACAUUUUCAAGCAACUCAAGCUCACGAAGAGAAUGUGGCACAUGUUUAAAUAUUAAACUUUGCUUGGUAAGAUGGAGUGAAGGAAAAAUAAAUGAGGAAUGCCAAAUAAAGUGAUCUCUGGGAGCUGAGCACUGAAUAAAUCCUGCAUGUCUUCAGUGAAGUGGUAGUUUUACAAUUAAAGCCUUUGGUUUUCAUAAAGCUGUUGCAGCAUGUCAGGGUAGCAGAGGAAUAAAAGUGCUGGGAGUGGGAAGUCAAGAAGGAGGCACGAUAUUUCCCCUGCAGAAGUAUAACAUUUAUUUUGUGAUUGAUUCACUGAGCAGAAGCAUUUUGCCACAGCAGCCACCCACUUAAUGAUGACAAAGCAGGAGCACCUCAGCCCUGAUGGUGCAGUACAGUCAGGCGUGACAUCUCAGAUCAGGUAUGGCUGGCUAAUGGUACUACCACGACACCCACACUGAGCUUCAUCCACUCUCUCUUACCAUGAGAAAACAAGUCACUUCAAACCUCAUGCAGAGAGUAUAAUAAACUCAUAUAUAUUCAAAGUGAGAGUUUCUGUUCCCUUAUGGAUUGUUAGGAAAAUGUGUCCUGACACACUGCAAAGUGGGUUAUGCAAAAAGAAAACAUUGAGAUUUCAUAUCAAAUAAGAAAAUCACAACUUUAUUAUGAAUAUAUCAUUUCAUUCUUUAAAAAACAACCAAAAAUUUGACACAGUAACUGACAUUAUUCCAAGGAAUUCAAGUAAUCUCAAGGAAAUUGUUCAGUUUUCCUGUCGCUUGCUGAGGAUGCAAGAGGUGAGGAUUAUUCAGGACUAAGAUGGACUCAUCAAGACAUGGAAUGGGAUGAGCUUGAGGGAAAAUGUUAAUACAUUAACUCUAAUGUGUUUUUAUGUUUCUGAAUAUCUCCCCCUCAUCUCCUCCCUCAAGUAUGUAAAUUGGCAAUAAAUGAUUGGCAAUCACAAAUGUGCCUCCAAGCAGGUUAGGGAUAAUUAAUAUAGCAUGUAGACACUCUAUCCUAAGAGCCAAUUGUGACAAAUCCACAAAAAUAAUGAAUCUCUGUUAAUAGUUAAUGAUGUAUGUCAAGAAAAGCCCAGUGUUCGUGCUCUUCUCCUUUAAAAGCAUGCUACUGUUCUCUGCCUCGGCUGGUUCAAGAGAACGCCUCCCUCCCCUGUGCUGGCCUGCUUUGACUCAGAGCCAGGAUGAAGUAAUUACAAGCUACCAGCCUGAAUACUUCAGAAGUCUGUCACAGAACAAGAUUCAACAAGCCUCUUCUCAAUUUGUAAAUAUGCUGGGAUAUAAGUGAUAAAAAGGCUCCAAUGUCAAGCAAGUUAAAGCAUUAGCUGUGCUACUCUAAGUGCUGAAGAGGUGCUUAAUACUUUAUACAUUAAGCCUUAUUAAUAGUGUAAAACAUGUUCAUCUCUUUGUUCCCCAAACUAAUUUACACAGAUUUUUAAAGAGCGAGUUAUAUUUAUGUUUUUUCCUCCCUUCCCCCCUGUUCCCCCCCCAAAAAAACACAAAACCCCAAACUCUUCCAUUUCUGCUGUUACGUGUAUAUACAUCAUAGAAUCACAGAAUCACCAAGGUUGGAAAAGACCCACAGGAUCAUCCAGUCCAACCAUCCACCCAUCACCAAUAGUUCUCACUAAACCAUGUCCCUCAACACAGUGUCCAAACGUUCCUUGAACACCUCCAGGGUCAGUGACUCCACCACCUGCCUGGGCAGCCCAUUCCAGUGCCUGACCACUCUCUUGGAAAAGUAGUACUUCCUAACAUCCAGCCUGAAUCUCCCCUGGCACAGAUUGAGGCCAAUCCCUCUAGUCCUAUCACUAGUUACAUGAGAGAAGAGACAGAUCCCCAGCUUACUACAACCUCCCUUCAGGUAGUUAUAGAGAGCUAUAAUGUCUCCCCUGAGCCUUCUCUUCUCCAUAGUGAAAAAUCCCAGCACUCUUGGCUGCUCCUCAUAAUGCCUAUGCUCCAGACCCCUUACCAGCUUUGUUGCCCUUCUCUGAACACGGUCCAGGGCCUUGAUGUCUUUCUUGCAGUGAGGGGCCCAAAACAGAACAUAGUACUCAAGGUGCAGCCUCACCAGUGCUGAGUACAGAGGUACAAUUACUUUCCUGUUCCUGCUAGCAACACUAUUUCUGAUACAAGCCAAGAUGCCUUUGGCCUUCUUGGCUACCUGGGCACACUGCUGGCUCAUGUUCAGCUGAGCACUGACCAAUACCCCCAGGUCUGUUUCCUUUACACAGUCUUCCAGCCACUCUGCCCCAAGACUGUAGCCCAGUGUUGCUGUGGCCAAAAUGCAGGACCCAGCACUUGGUCUUGUUGAACCUCAUUCCAUUGGCUUCAGCCCAAUGAUCCAGACUGUCCAGAUCCCUCUGUAGGACCUUGCUACCCCCAGGCAGAUCGACACUUCCUGCCAAUAUGACAUAUUACAGCCAUAUAAAUGCCUAAGAUCACAAAAUAUUGUAUUUCUAAGAAUUGUCUGCCUACCCUUCAUAGAAGUUGAUGGAAAAUAUAAGUUAGUUUCAGAGAGAACUUGUUUUUUGUACACAUAUUCUGAUGAGGUAAAGUACCCCUGUUGGGAAUAUCCAUAUCCAUUAAUGAUGACCCAUUUGGGGGUUGUUGAGUCAUAUCAAAAUACCCAAGUAAAAUGCAAACAAAAUAAACCUUUGCUGUGUGGGGAGAGAGAGACUGAGUACUAUUGAGAAUUUAGAUGUUACAAUUUAAUGACAAGCAUUCUUCUGGCUCUUUGAAACGUACGGCUUCUUGAUGUCCAAACAUUCCUGACAAGCCAUUGUUAAUUGAACUGAAAAAUCACAACCCUGCUCCAAAAUCCAUCACUGUUAAUAACUUAGCUUCUUUAUUGUCUUCAUAAUUAAUCUGCUUACUAGCAGAAAAGUUGAAACAGUUAAAACCUCUCAAUACAAUGAGAUGUAAUUGGAGAUGUUACAAACUUGAACUAAAAUGUCUUAGCCCAAACUUCUGGGAGGCAUUGAUCCUUAUCUAACAGCAGCAGCUUAUGGCCCUCCCUAAUUAUUUAGAAGCACAGGUGGCAGGGUGUAAUACUUGACUCCUUGUGACUUACACAGGAAUCC
ensembl:lncRNA